rnacentral:misc_RNA from 1 species
UUAAAUAACAUAAAAAAUAAAAUAUAUAUAUUGACAUGCAUUAAACAAAGAUAUAUAUUAUUUUAUGUUGUAUAAAUAAAUUGGCAAAAUAGAGAUGGAAGAUAAAAAUAUGGUCAAAGUAAUAAGAGUCUAUGGUGAAUGCCUAGGAGCUUUAAGGCGAAGAAGGUCGUGGUAAGCUGCGAAAAGCUUGGGGGAGAAGCAAACAUUUAUUGAUCCCAAGAUUACCGAAUGGAGUAAUCCAGCUAGCAAGAUGCUAGCUAUCUAUUAUUUAAAUAAUAGAGGCGAUACC